rnacentral:lncRNA from 1 species
UGCGCCGCGUCUGUUUCCCGGAAAAACUACUUGGAGCUGAUUGAAUUGUGCUAUCCGUCCUUUGAGGUCCCCUCCGAACGCCAAGAGAGCCUAGCCACGAAAACCCGUUCGAUGGUACCGAACUAGUAUUAUAUGGCCUGUAUCUCUCUCCCAACAUCCGGCUGGAACAAACCCCCCAGAACUUCCUGCGAAGUUGACCCCUCCAUCACCUCAUCCGAUCGAUUUCAUCCACCUC